UAGGCCUCGAGGUCAGGGGCGUACAGGGACUCUCUGUCCAGUGCCUUGUUGAAUUUUCACCAACUUUCACUCUGCGCUGGAGGAAGAGAUUAUGGCUCCCAGACAGCAAGCUUUCAGAUUCAGACUGGAACGACGACACCAGCGGCUUUCCUGGGUCUCAAGCUUGCAAAUGGCAGAUUGUUGGGCUCCUCAGCCUCCAUUAUUUGAGUGCUGUCCUGAGACUGUCAUUGAAGGAAGCUGGUAUAGCCUACAGAAGAAUAAGAGGCCAUGUG